UUAAAACUGAAAAUAGACUUUGAAAAAAUGAUUUACGGGAAACUACGCCUCACUGAUGACGCAGCCAAUCAGCCACCGUUUUUAAGGCCUGUGUGUAUAAUUUCGACUAUAGAAUUCAACCUUGACGAGAAACUGUUUACAAAGACACGUCAGCAAGAAAUAGAGAUACGUUAUUUGCUUAAAGGCCAGCACAGUCUGCGUGACGCACCUUUCACGAAAAGUUGUUGGCAUAGUAAUAAAGAUUCGUUCGCUAUAGUAAGAGGCCAUCACACUCUCUAGAGGUUCUAUCUACCAUAUGCAGGAAGAAACAGACGUGGGAGUGGACAUGGAUUUGGACGCUAUAUAUAAUAGAAGCAGCGUGCUGCGGCUCUAAACUGAACAUCUGCAACCACUUGUAUAGCCUACAACGUCAUCACUUCAGCAACUGAUGAAAUCGCAAAAACAAGACACAAUUCAUUUCUUUUUUCACUAGAAAUAUAGCAGACAGCAUUUUAGAAAUGGUUUUUCAACUAUAUUCGUGUGCUGCUGGUAAUAAUUUGCUAAAGUCAUCGUGAUCGGCCAUUUUGCUUAAACAGACGACACUAUUGCAAUUGUUUUUAGUUGAAGCCAAAUGUUUCUAUUUCGUACCAAAUUAUUUAGUUCGUAAAAAACCAUGAACUUUCACUCAAGAAUGUUGAAUAUUUCUGUUUUUUCAAACACAAUUUAAAAAAACAAUUACGACAGACAUAACUUUACUUUGUUAUGUCGGAAAGAGUAAAAUCAAUCAACUAUAGUGUAUACUACAAGGCUAAUGUACUAUGCCAGAUUUAUAUCUGCGAUUAGAUAUUAAGUUAAAUAUCAUUGUAACAUAAACUAAUACAUAUAUUUAAAAAGUAAAUUCAGCAGUCUCGUCCAUGAUCUAAUACAACUAAACAGAAAGUUGUCCUUAUUACUGGGGUAAUUAUUGUCCUAGUCCUCUGCAAUACGACUACAUUACAUCUGAUUUCUCUGCUCAUGUUAAUCAAACAACUAUCUUCAAGCAUGACUUAUUAUAGAUCAUUUUUGUCGGAUUUUUGUCAAUAGGUACUACGACUUAAUCCCGUACACCGGUGUUAUUAGAUAUUUACAAGCAAGGUACAAACAGACGACGCUAUUGCAAUGGUUGUUAAUUAGAUGGCCAAAGUUUAUAUUUCGUCCCAAGUUAUUUAGUUCACAGAAAACCCUGAACAUGAGUAAAGAAUGCUAUAUACAUAUUUCUGUUUUCCAUCCAUUAUUAAUUUUAAAAAAAAGCUUCUCUUUUCUAUUUCUAACUACAAUACUACCGGACAUAUAACUCUUGAUUGAUUCGAUUCUUUCUGACAUAAACAAAGCAAUCAGCGUAC
rnacentral:lncRNA from 1 species